rnacentral:rRNA from 1 species
UUAGAGUUUGAUCCUGGCUCACGACGAACGCUAGCGGCGUGCCUAACACAUGCAAGUCGUACGAGCAUUAGCAAUAAUGUUAGUGGCGAACGGGUGCGUAACACGUGGGAAAUCUGCCUGGGAGUGGGGAAUAAACGCUCGAAAGGGCGUCUAAUACCGCAUAAUGCAGCGGCCUCGCAUGAGGAUGUUGUUAAAAGUAGCGAUACGCUUCCAGAUGAUCCCGCGCGUGAUUAGCUUGUUGGCGGGGUAACGGCCCCACCAAGGCGACGAUCAGUAGCCGAUCUGAGAGGAUGACCGGCCACACCGGGUGUGAGAUACGGCCCAGACUCCUACGGGAGGCAGCAGUGAGGAGUAUUGCGCAAUGGACGAAAGUCUGACGCAGCAACGCCGCGUGAGUGAUGAAGGUCUUCGGGUUGGUAAAGCUCUGUGGCAGGGGAAGAAUUGCCCGUUGAGGGCGUUGACGGUACCCUGAAAGUAAGCACCGGCUAACUCCGUGCCAGCAGCCGCGGUAAUACGGAGGGUGCAAGCGUUGUCCGGAUUUACUGGGUGUAAAGGGCGUGUAGGCGGAUGUGCAAGUCAUAGGUGAAAGUGGGCGGCUUAACCGUCUCAAGGGCCUAUGAAACUGCAUAUCUUGAGAGUGUCAGGGGGUAUUGGAAUUCCCGGUGUAGCGGUGGAAUGCGUAGAUAUCGGGAGGAACACCAGUGGCGAAGGCGGAUACCUGGGGCACAUCUGACGCUGAGACGCGAAAGUGCGGGGAGCAAACAGGCUUAGAUACCCUGGUAGUCCGCACCGUAAACGAUGGGCACUAGUCGUCGGGAGAGGUCCUCUCGGUGACGCAGUUAACACAGUAAGUGCCCCACCUGGGGAGUACGCUCGCAAGGGUGAAACUCAAAGGAAUUGACGGGGGCCCGCACAAGCGGUGGAGCAUGUGGUUUAAUUCGAUGCAACGCGAAGAACCUUACCUGGGCUCGAAGUGCGCUUUGUCUGCGGUGAAAGCCGCAUAGGUAGCAAUACCGGGGCGCAUAGGUGCUGCAUGGCUGUCGUCAGCUCGUGUCGUGAGAUGUUAGGUUAAGUCCUGCAACGAGCGCAACCCUCGCCCAUAGUUACCAGCGGUUAAAGCCGGGCACUCUAUGGGGACUGCCUCCGUAAAGGAGGAGGAAGGUGGGGAUGACGUCAAGUCCUCAUGGCCCUUAUGUCCAGGGCUACACACGUGCUACAAUGGAUCGCACAGAGGGUAGCAAGACCGCGAGGUGGAGCCAAUCCUUAAAACGGUCCUCAGUUCAGAUUGCACUCUGCAACUCGAGUGCAUGAAGUCGGAAUCGCUAGUAAUCGCUAAUCAGCAGGUAGCGGUGAAUACGUUCCCGGGCCUUGUACACACCGCCCGUCAAACCAUGGGAGUUGGUAGUACCCGAAGCCGCCGAGCUAACCGAAAGGAGGCAGGCGUCUAAGGUAAGACUGAUGACUGGGGUUAAGUCGUAACAAGGUAACC